rnacentral:rRNA from 1 species
CCUACGGGAGGCAGCAGUGAGGAAUAUUGGUCAAUGGGCGCGAGCCUGAACCAGCCAAGUAGCGUGAAGGAUGACUGCCCUACGGGUUGUAAACUUCUUUUAUAAAGGAAUAAAGUGAGGUACGUGUGCCUUUUGGUCUGUAUUUUAUGAAUAAGGAUCGGCUAACUCCGUGCAAGCAGCCGCGGUAAUACGGAGGAUCCGAGCGUUAUCCGGAUUUAUUGGGUUUAAAGAGAGCGUAGAUGGGUUGUUAAGUCAGUUGUGAAAGUUUGCGGCUUAACCGUAAAAUUGCAAUUGAUAAUGGGAGCCUUGAGUACAGGUGAGGUAGGCGGAAUUCGUGGUGUAGCGGUGAAAUGCUUAGAUAUCACGAAGAACUCCGAUUGCGAAGGCAGCUUACUAAACUGCCACUGACAUUGAUGCUCGAAAGUGUGGGUAUCAAACAGGAUUAGAUACCCGGGUAGUC